rnacentral:rRNA from 1 species
GGUUCGACUCCGGAGAGGGAGCCUGAGAAACGGCUACCACAUCCAAGGAAGGCAGCAGGCACGCAAAUUACCCACUCCCGGCACGGGGAGGUAGUGACGAAAAAUAACAAGUCAGUUCCCUAUGAGGUCUGGCAUUGGAAUGGGUACAAUUUAAAUCCUUUAACGAGGAUCUAUUGGAGGGCAAGUCUGGUGCCAGCAGCCGCGGUAAUUCCAGCUCCAAUAGCGUAUAUUAAAGUUGCUGCGGUUAAAAAGCUCGUAGUUGGAUCUGCGGUCAAGGGAAGUGGUCCUCCGACGGAUGGUUACUGCUUUUCCUGACCUAACUUCUUCGGUUUUCCCUUGAUGCUCUUUACCGAGUGUUUUGGGUGACCGAAACGUUUACUUUGAAAAAAUUAGAGUGCUCAAAGCAGUCGUACAGACUGAAUAGUGGUGCAUGGAAUAAUAAAAGAGGAUCUCGGUUCUAUUUUGUUGGUAUUGGAUUGAGAUAAUGAUCGACGGGGAUAGACGGGGGCAUUCGUAUUGCGACGUUAGAGGUGAAAUUCUUGGAUCGUCGCCAGACGAACAACUGCGAAGGCAUUUGCCAAGAAUAUGCUCUUCAAUCAAGAACGAAAGCGAGAGGCGCGAACGCGAUCAGAUACCGCGGUAGCUCUCGCCGUAAACGAUGCCAACUAGCGAUCCGCCGGAGUUAAAUGAUGACUCGGCGGGCAGCUUCCGGGAAACCAAAGUUUUUGGGUUCCAGGGGAAGUAUGGUUGCAAAGCUGAAACUUAAAGGAAUUGACGGAAGGGCACCACCAGGAGUGGAGCCUGCGGCUUAAUUUGACCCAACACGGGGAAACUCACCCGGCCCGGACACCGUAAGGAUUGACAGAUUGAGAGCUCUUUCUUGAUUCGGUGGGUGGUGGUGCAUGGCCGUUCUUAGUUGGUGGAGCGAUUUGUCUGGUUAAUUCCGAUAACGAACGAGACUCUAGCCUGCUAAAUAGACAGUGAAUCGUUAGUUCAUUGUACUUCUUAGAGGGACAAGCGGCAUCUAGCUGCACGAGAUUGAGCAAUAACAGGUCUGUGAUGCCCUUAGAUGUUCGGGGCUGCACGCGCGCUACACUGAAGGAAUCAACAUGCAUUCCAACCUUACCCGAAAGGGUUUGGUAACCCGUUGAAACUCCUUCGUGAUUGGGAUAGGGACUUGCAAUUAUGGCCCUUGAACGAGGAAUUCCCAGUAAGUGCGGGUCAUCAGCUCGCGUUGAUUACGUCCCUGCCCUUUGUACACACCGCCCGUCGCUACUACCGAUUGGAUGGUAAAGUGAGUCGUAUGGACGCAUGUCGAGACAGCCUCACGGCUGCCUUGGUCUUUGCGAAAAUUCAACGAGCUUUGUCAUCUAGAGGAAGUAAAAGUCGUAACAAGGUU